AUGUACCACGUGCACUCUGCGGUUGCUCAGCCCCGUCCGCACUCACCUGGCGACUGCUCGCUACGUUUUGUUAGCC
rnacentral:sRNA from 1 species